GCCAAUUACAGAUACAGCACAGAGACGAACACAUGAACACAAUAAAAACAAAAAAGUGGACUUUGGCGUUGCUGCGUAUGUGAUUAACAUUACAUCAAGAUUCAGUGGAACAGAUUAGUCAGAAUACUGUAAAAUGGAUACGUGAAAGAUUGAAGUUGUGUUUUACUGAGCAAAUUGUUUCAAAAUGGAGCUAAUAGAAAAAUAUUUGACAAGUGAAGGAAAAAAAUACAGUUCAGCUGUCAGAGAAUCAAGAAUUUGGAAGAUUCGUGGGUGUUGUAGAUUUUCAAAGACUGAUAAAAAUCCCAGAAGAUUCAGGAAGAAAAUCAAGUUUGGUACACAUUGUACAAUUCGUCAAAAGAAACUACAUUUGAGCGAAAGUGUGUCUCAGGUUAUGUUUUGUAUGAUAAACUGUAGAGAUAUUUGGAAUGUAUGUGAUAUAAACUGAACUACUUAGUUUCAUAUUAGGAUAUAGCCAUAGCGUGUGGUUGGCGAGUUCA